CCUACGGGCGGCAGCAGUGAGGAAUAUUGGUCAAUGGACGAGAGUCUGAACCAGCCAAGUAGCGUGAAGGAUGACUGCCCUAUGGGUUGUAAACUUCUUUUAUAAAGGAAUAAAACGAGGCACGUGUGCCUUUUUGCAUGUACUUUAUGAAUAAGGAUCGGCUAACUCCGUGCCAGCAGCCGCGGUAAUACGGAGGAUCCGAGCGUUAUCCGGAUUUCUUGGGGUUAAAGGGAGCGUAGAUGGGUUGUUAAGUCAGUUGUGAAAGUUUGCGGCUCAACCGUCAAAUUGCAAUUGAUACUGGCAGUCUUGAGUACAGUUGAGGUAGGCGGAAUUCGUGGGGUAGCGGUGAAAUGCUUAGAUAUCACGAAGAACCCCGAUUGCGAAGGCAGCUUACUAAACUGUGACUGACAUUGAUGCUCGAAAGUGUGGGUAUCAAACAGGAUUAGAGACCCUAGUAGUC
rnacentral:rRNA from 1 species